AAAGUCGUAACAAGGUUUCCGUAGGUGAACCUGCGGAAGGAUCAUUAGCCUUUUUUCGGAAUAGAGCUGGCAACGGGGCCGUGAGAGCGGUCCCUUUUGCCUGUUCAGGGUCGGCUUCCCCCGUGGGAGACCUCAGAGGGGUCGAUCCUCUGUUUUCUGAAACCCACUCCGCGAACCUGACCAUGUUGCUUCCGGGAGCCAGCCCAUGCACGACGAGACAUUUUCUUUGUCGAGAAGUGUUUUGGCCGUCCUUCCGAUUGCCGGAUUGGACGAGUGCUCCCGGUUGGAGUUCUUCAAAUCAGUUUACUGUAAACAAUCCUAAUGUCUGAACCUUUCUUUUUUAAAGCAAUUUAACUUUAAAACUUUCAACAACGGAUCUCUCGGUUCUC
rnacentral:misc_RNA from 1 species